rnacentral:rRNA from 1 species
UACGAAGGGGGCUAGCGUUGUUCGGAAUUACUGGGCGUAAAGGGCUCGUAGGUGGCCAACUAAGUCAGACGUGAAAUCCCUCGGCUUAACCGGGGAACUGCGUCUGAUACUGGAUGGCUUGAGUUUGGGAGAGGGAUGCGGAAUUCCAGGUGUAGCGGUGAAAUGCGUAGAUAUCUGGAGGAACACCGGUGGCGAAGGCGGCAUCCUGGACCAACACUGACACUGAGGAGCGAAAGCCAAGGGAGCAAACGGG